rnacentral:rRNA from 1 species
GACGAACGCUGGCGGCGUGCUUAACACAUGCAAGUCGAACGGAAAGGCCCUGCUUGCAGGGUACUCGAGUGGCGAACGGGUGAGUAACACGUGGGUGAUCUGCCCUGCACUUCGGGAUAAGCUUGGGAAACUGGGUCUAAUACCGGAUAGGACCGCACUUUAGUGUGUGUGGUGGAAAGUUUUUUCGGUGUAGGAUGAGCUCGCGGCCUAUCAGCUUGUUGGUGGGGUAAUGGCCUACCAAGGCGGCGACGGGUAGCCGGCCUGAGAGGGUGUACGGCCACAUUGGGACUGAGAUACGGCCCAGACUCCUACGGGAGGCCGCAGUGGGGAAUAUUGCACAAUGGGCGCAAGCCUGAUGCAGCGACGCCGCGUGGGGGAUGAAGGCCUUCGGGUUGUAAACUCCUUUCGCUAGGGACGAAGCUUUUUGUGACGGUACCUAGAUAAGAAGCACCGGCUAACUACGUG